GUCCCGAGUCCGGCGGGGACGCGGCCCUGAGGCGGGAGGGCCGUCGGGCGGCUCUCGGCCCUGGGCACCCGCGCGCCGGCUGCCGUUCCGCCCCGGGGGUCACUGAGGGACGGGUGUAGGUGUUUGCAGUGGGGCGAGACGGGGACGUAAGAUGGGCGAGUCGAUGAGGAAGGAGACCCGCCGCCCAGCCGUUGGCUUUCUGGGAUGGCCGGGAGGUGACCGAGGGCGAGUGGUGCUCGCGGGGCACCGCGGCCGGGUGUGCGCGGCACACAGGUGUCCCGGGAGUGGGACGCCAGUGCCCGGCGCGCCGCACCCCGUCGGGAAACCCCAUCGCGUCCACCACUGCGGCUCCCGUGGGGGAACUCUUGCUCACCCCUGGGUACCCAGCCAGGGAACUGGAACGUGCCCUGCCAAGGGGGCGCUGCCUCCCCUCAGGAGAAGGCGGCUGGUGAUUGCUUCGCUGUCUCCGGGCCGCCCGUUUCUCCGAAAGGCACAGGCGGUGCCAGAGAAGGUCUGGGUGGAAGGGCUGCUUAGCUCACGGUUCUGGGGAGUGUUGGCAGCCAGUAAUCCAGGGCCGUGUACGUGUGCAGGUUCGGAUUCUUGUGUUUAGCAGAAGGUGACAGGGGUGGGAGUACAGCAUCAGAGUGUUCCUUUACUCUAAACUGUGGGCGAGGGUUUAAAAAUAGAACGAGCAUAUCCUGACUGUCUCCCUCUCCCGCUCCCUCGCUCUCCUUUCUACCUCUCCCAUUAUCCUUGAAAACUCCAGGAUUUUGAAGGACAUGUCCAACGUCUUCACUCAGAAAGGAGAGGUUUAAACUCGUCCUGAAAGAUUCUGGAACCUUUCGUAAAACUAUUUUUGCUUAUUUCCUUUUGGUAGGGGAGCACUGAAAUUUGCAUUCUGUGUGUGAUUGUCCCUUGACUUUUGCAGAGCCAGAGUUUCUCCUGGCCAAAUGAGAGCGUUCUAGGGAUGGGCUUCUUGGAUUGGGCAGUCCUUUUUGGUGCCUUCACAGUUCUACCCAUUUAAAAAUAGUUGGGUUUAUCUUUUAGUUUUGAGAACCGGGAAUGACACGAAGGAAGAUAGUGGAACUGAACUGUCUUUGGCUUUUCUUUUCCUCUCUGUGUGAUGGGUAUCUUAAUAGGUGAGGUCUUUCAGCUAAGAAAGGUUGCAUUGGCAGAGUGGGGUCCCACCUGUGAGAAUUGUUCCCAGGCCUCUUUAAAGGAGACUUACAGAAGUCAAGUGCCUGAGAUGUCAUUUUGUGACCCUGAUGCUUCUAAAGAUGUAGAGGUAGGUAGUAAUGGCUUUAAUUGGGCAUCUGCUUAUUUCAGUAAAUAUACACAGUGCCUGCAGUGUGCUGGUUACUGCCCUGGACCCUGACUAUGUAGCAGUGAAUAUUUUGCUGCCCUGUGGCUACGGAGACUGAUUCCUCGCCAGUGAAUUGUCUGUUACUUAUUUUACAAAUGAGAAAACAAGCUUGGUGAAUCUUUAGUCCAGUGCCACACAGCUGUUAUCAGUGGGACCUAGUUUUGAACCCCUGCAUGGUCUGAGCCAGAGUUGGAGUUCCUGCUAAUACAGAGCUCUUAAUCCUUCCCCAUCCUGCUCACCCAGAAUGGAUCUCCUAGACCAAGCCUGCGAGUAUUUGGAAUUGCAUUUGUAUGUCUGCCUUGAGUAUGAGUAGGGUGCAUUUGUGUGACUGGCAGUUUAUUUGCCUGCUACUAUUUCUUUGGCAGGGGUCAGAAUUCUUUGGGUAGGAGGGAAUAAUGCAGUUAUUUAAGUUGUCUAAUGGAAUAGAGCAGACCUGUAUCUUGGGAGAAAGACUAGCGAGGAACUAAAUGUUCUAAUCCCUGUAUAUCCAGCUGUACUUAACUAUACUCUUCAACUGCUACUAUUAGUUGAAUAGGUCAUGUGACCUCUUAAGUGGAAAGGGUGGAGUUGAUCACUGUUUCCCAGAUUUGAGGCAUUCCAUUAUCAUUAGGAGCUUAUACAGUGUAUAUUACUGUCAUAGUGUUUGUGUAUUAUUUUUCUUCUGUUCAUCCUUCUUACUACUGAAAAUGUAAAGCCGGUAUUUUUAAAACUAAUUACACAGAAAAAAAUAGACAAUUAUAUAAAUAACACUAGUUUAGAUGAUUUAUAGUCUCUUCCAACUAUAAAAUUUUAUGGUUUUAUUUUAUAAUUAGUAUUCACAGAACUCUGGGUUUAGAUUUCUUUUGUGUGUUAACCUGAGGCAAUAAAACGGGCCUCUUGGGAUUGCUAAAGUUCAGCUAGAUCAUUGUUGUUACUACUUAACAUUUUAUUUUUGAAGAAACUGAAGGUCAGAGAGGUCGGUCACCUGCUCAAGGUGACACAGCAUUUGAAUGUAUUUGAACCCAAGUUGUCUGAUUCCAAAGUUGCCUGUGCUUAACUUAACCCCCAAGCAGAACUGUUGUCUAGGUCUGUUGUCUUUUGAAUCCCCUUGAGAAUCUGAUAAACAAAUAACCCCCUUGAAGUUUUUCCCUGGAGUCCAAGCCUCUGAUCUGGAUACAUAGAAGAUAAGCAAUAAAAUAAUUUGGGACCUACCUUGGUGACAGUCCGCUUUUUCUGUCCUGAAAAAGGACCUAUUUUCACCUAAAGGACCUAGAUCUCACCUAUUUGUCUAGGUCUUUCCUGUGGGCGCUCCUGUGUUCAGGACUCUUUUCUUACCCUGAUGAAUCAGUGUCUCAGUUGGGAGGAAUUUGUAUGUUCAAGGCUUUCUUUCUUUCUGUAGAGUCCAUAGUAGCUGGAAAUGAAGUUGCAGAAUUAAGUUUUAGGAUUUCCUAGGUUUGAAUCUUAACCCACUCACUUACUGGUUGACUUUGGGCAAGUCACUGAGCCUGAAUGAGCUCCUCCUGUGCAGUAGCCACCUUGACCUUCUAGUGUUGUGAGAUCACAUGAUUCAGUGCUUAUAAAGAAAGCACUUAGCUUAGAGCCCGGUGCAUAGCACUGCUCACUUGUUGGUGGCUGUAAUCAUCUUCCAGCAUUCGGGGUUGUCAAGACUCAGAGCAAAUGUUACUAAGAGCAGAGGGACAUUUUUUGGUUUGGGUGCAGGGAGUUAAGCAAUAUGCCUUCUUAAUGCCACUUGUUGAUAACUUACACAGUUGUGUAUGUGUUAACCACUGGUUACAGUGGGAAGAGUCCUGGCAAUCCUCUUUGCAUAAUGUUGUGGUUAUGCCAAAAAAGUUCCACAAGUUAAAAAAAAAAUAGUAGUAAGCCUCCCAACAUACUUUCUGUUCCUAAUAACAUUCUGGUAACUUAAAUUUUCAACCUUCCGGCUAGCUUAACAUCUCCCCUCAGUGGCUGGGCUGGCUGCCUCUCUCUCUUGUCUUGCAGGAAAAGCUUGCAGAAUGCAUUGGACUUCAUAGUGGGUGUCAUGGACCCAGUGGCAAACCAAACGUGGUUUCAUAGAAAUGAGAGUGAAUUCGGCUAUUGGUUUUAAGUAGUGAUGUGGGUUUUCAGGAACUGUGUCUUUCCAUCUUGAGAGUUGGGUUGUGUGGACUUAGUGCUAUAAAUUUGGCUUCUGCUUAAUGAGAUAGAAUGAAUACCCUUGUUCUGAUAAUCUAAGAUGGGAGGGGUGGGGCAAAAAUUCAGAUGUUAAGGUAUCAACUUUUUAAAGGUAUAAUUUACCUUACUGUAUAGUUCACCCACUUACAGAAUCCAGUUCACUGGUUUUUACUACAUUCACAGAAUUGUGCAGUCAUCCCCACAAAGAAAUCUCAUUCCCAUUAACCAUUGUUCCCCAUUUUCUCCCAGCUCCCUGCUACCCCUGUCCCCAGCCCCUGUCAACCACUAAAGUAUUUUCAGUCUUUAUAGAUUUGUCUAUUCUGAACAUCACAUGUGCAAUUUUAAUAGUUUCCUCCUAGGUGGUAGUGACCAACUUUAGGAACAGAGUUUUUCAUUGGACUUUCAGGUGGGGGAACUUGGAGUCUAUCUGCUAUUCUUCUUCAGGGGCAUUUAAGUAGAGGUCAUAUUCCAAAGAUGGAACUGUUUCCCAGGGCUGGGAGGAACCCACGUGUGCGCCUUUGGGUUUCAAACUCAUGAGUGGGGAAUGGAUUAGUUCUAGUUCCUGGUACUGUGAUGGAUACAGAGGAGACCAGAAUAAAACUAGGAAUCUAGCCCGUUCCUUCUGUGAACUUUCAGUCAAGUUGGGGCAGUAUGUGUGAUACUCCAUAAAGCCUUACUCUGGGGUCUUAACCUGCUGGGUGACCUUUCUUUCUUUCUUUCUUUCUUUCUUUCUUUCUUUCUUUCUUCUUAACAAAAUGAAGUAAAUGUAUAUUUCUGUAGUUGAGUCUGUAGUAUUUAUGAAAACUUUUGGGAUGAUGUGUUUUUGUUUCUUGAGCAUUUACCAAGUGCCUGGCCCUAUGCUGUGUCCACAUUAGUGUCAUUAGUCCUUACCACCAUUCUGUGAGUGAAUAUUCUUAUUUUUCUGUAUUUUAGACUUGGGGUAACUUGUCUAAGGUUACAUAGCUAGUAAGUUAUACAACCAGGUUUUGAACCUGGCAAUGGACUGCAGGCAGUGGACUCUCUUGAACAUGACCCUUGAGUGUCUUCAGUAACCAUAUUAGUACUAAAGAUGCAAAUUCUUCAUAGAUCUAGACCCUAGAAAGGAGAAGCAUAUGGCAGGUGCUAGAUUAAGUGAAAGUAUUGUGUCUGUUGUUUUUUCAGACUCUGAAACCUGGGUAGCAAUGAAUAGCUAAUAUUUUGUAUUGUGCUUUGAAGUUUUGUGUUUCCAUCAUAGGAUUAAAGAACCAUUAUAGGCUAGAAGGGAAAUGAUGGGAGUCUGGCUGUCUCUUGCCUUUAUAAAGCGCUAGAGUUUAUCUUUGGUAUCAAUGAGUGGUUAUCAGUGAUUCUUUUUAAAAAUAAUUUUUUAAAAAAAUGUAUACUUUUAUAGUAUUAAUUUACUUUAUUAUUUUAAACAUUUUUUUAAUGUUUAUUUUUGAGAGAGAGAGAAACAGAGUAUGAGCAGGGGAGGGGCAGAGAGAGAGAGGGAGACAUAGAAUUCAAAGCAGGCUCCAGGCUCUGAGCUGUCAGCACAGAGCCCGAUGUGGGGCUCGAACUCACGAACUGCGAGAUCAUGACCUGAGCCAACGUCGGACAUCUAACUGACUGAGCCACCCAGGCGCCCCACAUUAAUUUAUUUUUUAAUGAAAAAAAUUUAAAUCGUGCUAUAAUUGAUAUAUAACUUUGUAUUAGUUUCAGGUGUACAACAGGAUUCUGUAUUUGUGUAUGUUGUGCAGGAUCACCACAAUAAAUCUAGUUAACAUCUGUCACCAUACAGUUAUAGAAUUUUUUGUGUGUGAUGAGAACUUUUAGAUGUACUUUCUUAGCAACUUACAAACAUACUCUAUGCUACUAUGAACAGUAGUCAAUGUGCUAUAUAUCACAUGAUUUAUUUUAUAAUUGGAAGUGAUUCUCUUUUAGCUGGAUAAUAAAGCAUCAAACAGGAAGGCCAGAAACCUAUUCCUGGGUCUGAUUUGAUAAGAAAAAUGGUUUAUUCUCAAUGCUCAUUUAAACAAGAGUGAAAAAAGUCAACAUGAAGUGUUGCAUGCUUUAUUAUUUUUUUCUUUUUGAAUUCAUUAUUUUUUUUAAAGAGUUGGUGGUUUAAAUCAUGUCACACUUUUGUAGUUCUUUAGGAUUUGUCAUAGGCUUUUUGUAGUAGUGAGAUGAGCCUUCUUGAAAGGCUUCCCAAAGGAUGUUCAUUACCAGUCUGCUGUGUUCAGGAGGAAUUAUAUUACUUACAAAAUCCUAAUAGGACAAAUGGGUAUGGAGUUAAGUAGCAAAAACAUUUUCCCAGUUCCGUUGCUUUGCUUUAGCACCUUGCAAAUUAAAGGGAAGAAAGAGGCAUUUGCAAAUUAUUUAUAAAUGGUGGUAAUUUGUCAUGCUGACAUUUGGAAUAUUAGUCAUACAAACAUAAACAACAGUAAAUUAAGUCCAAACAAGAUUUUGUAGUUUUUAUGUAACAUUAACUUAAAAGUUCCUUAUGGGGCGCCUGGGUGGCUCAGUUGGUUAAGCACCUGACUUUUGAUUUUGGCUCAGGUCAUGAUCUCAUAGUCCUGAGACUGAGUUGGACUUUGCGGUGGGCAUGGAACAUGCUUGGAAUUCUCUCUCUCCCUCUCCUCCACCUCUGCUUACAUGUGCUCUCUCUCUCUCUCUCAAAAAAAAAAAAAAAUUCUUCUACUUUAAUCCGUUAUCUUUAUUGGAUUGAAUAAAUUGCAUUUAAACUGUAGUUCUCAACCUACUGGCAGAGGUCUGAGGUCUCUUCCCUUCACUUUAUGAUUAAUAAGACAAUAUUUUUAGGGCAGUUUUAAGUUUACAGAAAAGCUGAGUGGAAAGUAUAGGGAGUUCUCAUACCAGCCCUUCAUACCUAUUCCUCUCAAUUUCCCCUGUCAUUGACACCUUGCAUUAGUGUGGUGAUAGGGUUAUUCACUAAAAUCCAUAGUUUACAUCAGGGUUCAUUCUUUGCCUUGUACAUUCUCUGGGUUUUGACAAAUGUUAAAUAACUUGUAUUGGCCAUUGCAGUAUCAUGCAGAAUAGUUUCACUGCCCUAAAAAUACCCCGUGCUCCACUUAUUCAUUCCUGUGCCCCUGUUCUUGGCAGUGACUGUUCUCUUUUACUAUUUCCCUAGUUUUGCCUUUUCCAGAGUGUUAUAUGCUGGCGGCUGGAAUCAUAGGGUGGUUAGCCUUUCAGAUUGACUUCUUUCAUUUAGCAAUAUGCAUUUAAGAUUCCUUCAUGUCUUUUUGUGGCUUAAUACCUCAUUUCUUUUUAUCACUGGCAAAUACUCCUUUGGAUGUACCAUAUGAAUGUAUCCACUUAUUUGUUGAAGGGCAUCUUGGUUGCUUCCCAGUUUUGGCUGUUAGGAAUAAAGCUGAUACAAACAUUUGUCUGAAGGUUCAUGUGUGGACAUAGGCCUUUAACUCGUUGGAGUAAAUAUCAAGGAGCACAACUGGCGGAUCGAGUAUUCCAGUUUUGUAAGAAACUGCCCAACUGUUUUCCAAAGUGUGGUGCCAUUUUGCCUUCCUGUGAGUAAAGAAUGAGCGUUCUUGUUGCUCUACAUCCUCAUCAGAAUUUGGCGUUGUCAGGGGCACCUGGGGGGGCUCAGUUGGUUUAGCGUCCCACUUCACCUCAGGUCGUGAUCUCAUGGUUCCUGGGUUCAAGCCCUGCAUCAGGCUCCCUACUGACAAGGCAGAGUGUGCUUUGGAUUUAGUCAUUAUAACAGGCAUGUAGUGGUGUCUCACUGUUUUUUAAAUCUAUGUUUCCUUAAUGACAUGAUGUUGUGUAUCUUUUCAUAUGUUUAUUUUCCAGCUGUGUAUCUUCUUUGGUGAGGUGUCUCUUCUGAUCUUUUGCUCAUUUUUAAAUUGGGUUUAGUUUCCUUAUUGUUGAGUUUGUUGAGUAUUGUUCCGUGUGUGUGUGUGUGUGUGUGUGUGUGUGUG